UCACUAGUUUAUUAUAGGUGAGGAUGAUGCUAAGCUCUAUGAACUGCAAAGUUGUGCAGCUUGAUUUGAUUGAGGUAGUUCUUUUUUUUACUGUUGACUGUUCAGCAUAUAGAUUUGGCUGUUCAAACAUUCAAAUGUCCACCAAAUAAAAAAUUUCGCUUGAUUGUACUACUUCCAGGUUCUCUUCGAACACAUUAUGACAAAUCACAAAGCAUUGUCUCUCAAAUUAAUAAGUACGUGUUUGUACUCUUUUCAAGUUAUAUUAAACCAUGAUCUUCUUCUCUUGCUUAACAACCAUGCUUGAAGUUUCUUUUCGAAUAGAAAGAUGCGAAUUCGAUGGUAUAUCAGAACAAACACAAUAUAUAAUCACUUCAGAAGACACCAAUCCAAUGUUUUAUGAAUCAAGUAAUCUUGUUCGUUAGGAAUUGACUGCAAUAAUGUCUCCAAUGUUGUCUCAGUUAGAGUGCUUAAUGAAAAUGUGAGUGUACUUUUGACUACAUCAUAUCAAAAGAUUCUGUCCUUUUACACCAUUCAUGUAAUGCUAACUUAAUUUCGUUGUUUUACCUUUGUCUCUUUACUUUUCGCCUAUGCUUACGAUGUGCAUGAAAUUUGUCAUCUGCGACUUGAUAAGGACGAACUCCGACUACUAUGCUGAUAAGUAGAUACAUCAUGAUGUUGUUAAAACUAUUCCAGGUGUCUGACUGAAAUCAUAUAGUUGAGGGACCGGGAAAAAUAUUUCAUGCAAAUACAAGUGUCUAAUUGUCUAUUAUGCCUUAAAACUAUGCUAGACAUUGAAAGAUUGAGAAACCUUCAGUUCUUGAUUAGUUGUUAAACCACUGAUAACAUACGAUGAAUUGGCAGCGUUAGCACAAUGGUUAAAACAUCAGUUUCUUGUUUUGGAUAUUCAGAGAUAUGGACUGAUAACUUUGGAGAUUAUGAAGUUCCGUUGAUCAAAUUAUUUCCAUUCUCAACCUCGAGUGGCACCUCAGAAGUCAGAACUAGGGGAAAGGAAAUGAAGUAUAUCCCUUUUGGAAUGAAUUAAGCUUAAGGACAGCCCGGUGCACUAAAGCUCCAGUAGUUAUUCCCGAUGCCAGGGAAGGAUCGGACAAAAAUGAUCUAUUGUACACAACCUUACAUAACGUGUAAUUAACAUAUCUUAAAAAGCUAUCAUCAUGAUUCAUGUAUACAAUGCUAGAACACUUGGUGUUGUGCCCUGUGUGUUCUAUUUGAAUUAUAUUGGACCCUAUUUCUAUAACUUUUAUAUGUAAAAUAUUAUUCUUUUUGACGAAAG
rnacentral:lncRNA from 1 species